ensembl:lncRNA
GGGGCUUCACUAUCACCUGCUUCCACGUCAGACAUUCUCAGGCUUCCACUCGACACCUAAAAUACGGUUGGACUGAAAAAUGAAACACUUUGAUCUUUCCAAAUCCCCUGAUCUUGAAAAAGCACCAGAAAUUUGAUGUCAUCCUGUCCAAACUGGUACACGGCUGGCAGACGGCACGGCGUCCUGUGAUUGGUUCUGACAAGCCGGUGACAGCUCUGGAGGACCAAUCAGAGCGGGAGAUACGACUUCAAAUGAUGUGCCACGGGUUUUGGAGAUCAAGCUGUCAUAUUUGGACCCCGAAGUAAUUGCACCAACCACCCUGGUUUUGGGCUCGUAGAGCUCUGAUUUCUAAAGAUGGCCACCUGCCAUCAUGAAUAUCGGGCGCUGCUAUGCUUCUGCACACAGCUGAGCACUGCGGGAGCCGACGGAGCCUCUCUGACAUCGAGUGUGCAUUCGAUUUUUGGCAUUGAUGUCCUUUUAUAUCGUUUCUCUCUCUCUUCAUCUAAGCAUCGAUUAUGCGAGCUGCUAAUGAAAAAAGGGCCCCGUUUAGCACACUGACAUUUUAUUGUAGGGCACGAUGGCUACAUCGGUGGCUUGUGUCUAUGGUGGGCUCACAAGGCAAAUUGGAUUGCUGUUUUCUCCUCAUGUGGCCAGUCUCCAGUGUGACCUUGCAUUAGUGCAUAUGCUCACAGCAGGGUCACUGGUUGGGGGCAUGAUCUGUCAGCCUUUGUUUAUGAAAGGCAGACAGCACAAGCCUGUAAGAUAACAUAUUUCAUGCAAUUAGUGGUCCGUGGCGCUGCAUCGCAAAUUCUGUACAAGCACGAUAAAGA